CAAAUAUCCAAACAAGACCUAAGAUUGUACCAUAUUAUUGACUGGUAAAUCGAAUUGCUGUAUGUUAUUACAACUUGUCAAACACACAUCUUCUGUGUAGUUAUUCAAAUUUUUUUUUUUUUUUUCCCAUUUUAUAUUCUGUCUUGAAACACAAAUGCUAACUAAGCAGCUUGUUAAAGAAGCUGCUUGGUGCCCAUGUUUUGGAGGCUAUAAAUUGAUACCAUGUGUACACAAUUGAGGUGUGAAAAAUGAAUAACAUUAUCAGCUCUUUCUCUCUCUCUCUCAGCACUCUCUCUCUCUCUAAUCUCUACAUCUCUCUCAUCUUUCAUAUUUGUCAUAUACUUCAAUACAUAUAUUUAUUACAUGGAUAUCAUUGUAAAACUCCCACCAUCCAAUAGUAAAUGCUAUCAUGGCCAUCACGCUCAAGAACCAAUUGGUUAGGGUAAUUGAUCUCUAAAGCACUCUCUGCUAUUUUGAUCACUCCCAGUAUCAAGUGCCUAUCAAGUGCCCUGCAUUUUUAUCUGCCCCCUAGUGGUAUCUCCUUCAAGCUACCAACCUCUCUACAGGGUUUGUGAGGUGAAAGCCUGAAAAUCCUCAUAGGCCUCUAUUGUUUAUCAAUUAACGGGGGUAGUCAGCGGUUUGUUCUUCAAGGGAUAUACCAAACUCAACAAUGCCGAGAAAGUUGAAUGGAACAACCGGGGUUUUUCUACAUUCCAAGCAUUCGUUGUGGCAGCUGCUUCUCUCUAUCUGUUACCAUUCUCGGGUCUCUUUGAUGAGGGUUCUCAUGAUGAGUUGAUAACUAAUAGGAAGUCUACUUUAUCAGACACAAUAUUGGGGGUAUGUUGUUGCAGAAGGUGGUAUACUGGUUUUAAUAUGAGAGAAGAAAUUGCAAUUAAUGCUUGUGAGAUUCGUACUUGCAUGAGAUGAAAUUUGGACACAAUUUAAUAUGAAACAAGACAGGGACGUGGUAAAAUUUAAACGACUACUGCAAUUUGAAGAUUUAGGGUUAGUCCCUAUUAAAUUAGAUGUGAACAUAUGAGGCACCUUUCAAACAAGUGGAAGUCUUCAAAAGAUGAGCACGUCAAUGAGUGCAUGGGGGAUAACCUAGCACUCUUUGUUGGAAAGUAAAGUUUGAAAAUUGAGAUGGUUUAAGCAUGUGGUAAAGAGUACAACGAAGUUUCGUGGGUCAUAAUGAAGCCAGACAUCUCCAAGUGGUUGUAAACUAGUUUUUGAAAGAAGAAAAUUGAGACAUAUUGUUAGUAGUAUAUGGCUUGCGGACUUUGAAAAACUAAAGAGUUUUGGGCAUGAUCCUUUUGGUAUGGUUAAGUAAUAUGUAAGGUUUUUAAAAAUUUGUUAAAGAGUUCAUAAAUGAAUUGAGAGUUUGUUAGGAUAUCACACUCAAAAAGGAUGCAAUUAGCUUAGGAGGUGGACGUCUACAUUUCAAAGUAGUUAAUUUCCUUGGUCAGAGGUAAUAUAUCCUAAUAUAUCAUCCGGUGUUGCACGUGUGAAUUCCUUAGCCAACUCUCUAGCGUUAAGUUCCUAAAUCUCCUUAUGUACAGCAUUUCUCUCCAGUUCUGCUGAUGAUUACCAUUUUCUACAUUAUUGGUAAUAGAACAAAGAAACAGAUAGCAAUAGCUUGAUAGGAGGGUGCACUUGAAUAGUAAGGUACUUUUUUACUAAUCUGAGCUAAGUUCAUGAUUUAAUCCCAUCAAAAUAGGGAGGCCACUUUUAUCAACAAUAGUAGCUACACAAGUAGUAGGAUAGGAGCUGGAUUACCCAUGGAGUGGCAAUUUCUUUGAUAUGCACCCACAUUUCCUUCCCUUGAUGUUAAACCUAAGGAAAUAUAUGGUCUUUCUCAUUGUAAAUGGAUAAUCAAACUCUCUGUUUGCUACAUGUUGAUACACCGUAAUGUGACCUUAUAAAGAUACAUGUUAAACCAUUCCAUCCAACUUACCAUUAAAAUAAUGAAUAUAGACAUGAAUAUAUUACUGUAUAUGCCUUUGGAUGUUCACUAUGUGCUUAUGUGUUGCAACGGAGGAGCUCAGUCGCAGGAAGAUUUAGGUAGUAGCAGGAUAGACGGUUUGGAACUAAAAGGUUUUAAGAGACAUUUGUGGAGAAAAGUAAGGCAUGGGCCGACUCUAUAAUGUUUUUACUAUGGAGAAAUUUGUGAAUUAUACAAAUUCUAGUGUGUGGAGGGAAAAAUCUCUCUCCAAUGAGAACUGUACACGUCAUCGCAAUAUAAAUACCCAUCACAAAUGUCAGAGGCCCAUCCUGCUCAAAGCCCAGUCCAAGCUCGUUGAUAGCCCAAAAUCAUAAGACACAAGCCCAAGGUCACAGCUAAUUGAUCUCUGUAGCAUUGCUCAAGCCCGAAACAAGAGAUCUAGCCCGUUAGCAAUGUCACAUGGAUCAGGUUACUUACAACCCAAAUCCAUUGAAAGGAAAUUAGUCAUAUUAGAAGAAGGAUACAACAAAGAAAGAAACUACUGCACAAGGAAAAUUAUACAAAGAAAGGAGCUCUAUUUGUAAAUAAUUUCU